CAAGUCGAGCGAACGGAUGAGAAGCUUGCUUCUCUGAUGUUAGCGGCGGACGGGUGAGUAACACGUGGAUAACCUACCUAUAAGACUGGGAUAACUUCGGGAAACCGGAGCUAAUACCGGAUAAUAUUUUGAACCGCAUGGUUCAAAAGUGAAAGACGGUCUUGCUGUCACUUAUAGAUGGAUCCGCGCUGCAUUAGCUAGUUGGUAAGGUAACGGCUUACCAAGGCAACGAUGCAUAGCCGACCUGAGAGGGUGAUCGGCCACACUGGAACUGAGACACGGUCCAGACUCCUACGGGAGGCAGCAGUAGGGAAUCUUCCGCAAUGGGCGAAAGCCUGACGGAGCAACGCCGCGUGAGUGAUGAAGGUCUUCGGAUCGUAAAACUCUGUUAUUAGGGAAGAACAUAUGUGUAAGUAACUGUGCACAUCUUGACGGUACCUAAUCGGAAAGCCACGGCUAACUACGUGCCAGCAGCCGCGGUAAUACGUAGGUGGCAAGCGUUAUCCGGAAUUAUUGGGCGUAAAGCGCGCGUAGGCGGUUUUUUAAGUCUGAUGUGAAAGCCCACGGCUCAACCGUGGAGGGUCAUUGGAAACUGGAAAACUUGAGUGCAGAAGAGGAAAGUGGAAUUCCAUGUGUAGCGGUGAAAUGCGCAGAGAUAUGGAGGAACACCAGU
rnacentral:rRNA from 1 species